rnacentral:rRNA from 1 species
UACAGAGGAGCCAAGCGUUGUCCGGAUUGACUGGGCGUAAAGCGCACGCAGGCGGGUGCGCGCGUGGGGGGUGAAAUCUGGCCGCUUAACGGCCAGGCGCCAUCCCAUACGGCGCGCCUGGAGGGCUGCAGAGGUCGAUGGAAUUGCCGGUGUAGUGGUGAAAUGCGUAGAGAUCAGGAAGAAUACCUGUGGCGCAAGCGCCCACCUGGCCGAGACCUGACGCUGAGGCACGAAAGCGUGGGGAGCGAACCGG